GGCGUCGGUUGUACGGUCUCUCUUUGCUCAGCUUGGUGUGAAUGCACGUGCAUCCGCUUUUAGCUUUUUACCUACUUGCUGCUGGAAACCUGGAACUGGACCGCAAUACUUAAGUGCGCACUUGUGAAAACUUGCAGCCGCCACUCCUCGAACCAGCCGUCCUCCAUCUGCGCAAGGAUGACGUAAUUUGCCAGCGGGCCGCCCCUUGUUGGACCAUCCACCAGAUCUGCGCAGAACAUCCACCGGCAGAUCCGCGCGCCGGCGCAGCACUGGAAUAGGCCGCCGCUCCUUGCUCCUGCCGCCCACAUCCGACGCACGGAAAAUGCGACUGCCUGCGUGCCUCCCUCUGUGAUAGACAUCGAGCAGAUCUGCGAGCAGCAGCCGCCACAACAUCCGCGCGCAGCCGUAAAGAGGAGAAAACAGCAGCCGCUCCUGGGUCCCGCCGUCCUCCAUCGGCGUAUCCGCGCGCUGGCAUAGGAUGGAAGAACAGCGGCCAUUCUUCGGUCCCGUUGGCCCCCACAUGCGCAAGGACAACACGAUUUCCAGCGAGGACGCCUUUUAUGCCAUCUGUACUGGCUUUGGUGGAAGGAUGUGUCGGGUCCUCAGCGCCUAUAGAAUGCCAGUUGGCCAGGAAUGAAUUUUAAAUAGUGUCGCGUGUGUUGUGUGGAUACUAAUCCUUUUCUUUAUCUCUUCCCUACAGGGAGGCUUGUCGCCGAGUCGCUGCAACGAUAUACCAGCGAGCAGAUCUGCGCGCAGGCUUUGGCUGGAGAGUUGCUGUCAGUCGUCGGCGAUCGUUACCAGGACACAUCAGGUUAGCCAAUCUGCGCGCAGGCGUCAGUUGCAGCGGCUGCGGUUCUAGUUCCAGUGGACCUAAUAUUGCGCAAGGAUAAGGCGAUAUCCAGUGAGCCGCCUUUUGUCAAGUCAUCGAGUAGAUCUGCGCGUAGAAUAUACCAUAGUAUCUGCGCGCAGGCGUGAAUAAGGAGAUCAUCUGCUGCUUCUCGGACCUGUUGGCCCCCACAUGCCCAAGGAUGACACGAUUUCCAGCGGAGAGCUUUUUGACGUCUGGACUGGAUUUUGGUAGAAGGGGAGCCUUGUCGCCGAGUCGCUGCAAGGAUACACCAGCGAGCAGAUCUGCGCGCAGGCAUUGGCUAGGAAAAUUGCAGUCAUUCGUCGGCGCUCGUUGUCAGGACAAGAACAGGUAGCCAAUCUGCGCGCAGGCGUCAAUUGCAGCGGCUGUGGAUUCAAUUCCAGUGGACUUCAUAUUGAGCAAGGACAGCGCUCGUAUCAGCAAGCAUUGCAGGACUAGGAGACUUCAUCAGGCUGUUCUACGAAAACUUGCAGCCGCCACUCCUCGAACCAGCCGUCCUCCAUCUGCGCAAGGAUGACGUAAUUUGCCAGCGGGCCGCCCCUUGUUGGACCAUCCACCAGAUCUGCGCAGAACAUCCACCGGCAGAUCCGCGCGCCGGCGCAGCACUGGAAUAGGCCGCCGCUCCUUGCUCCUGCCGCCCACAUCCGACGCACGGAAAAUGCGACUGCCUGCGUGCCUCCCUCUGUGAUAGACAUCGAGCAGAUCUGCGAGCAGCAGCCGCCACAACAUCCGCGCGCAGCCGUAAAGAGGAGAAAACAGCAGCCGCUCCUGGGUCCCGCCGUCCUCCAUCGGCGUAUCCGCGCGCUGGCAUAGGAUGGAAGAACAGCGGCCAUUCUUCGGUCCCGUUGGCCCCCACAUGCGCAAGGACAACACGAUUUCCAGCGAGGACGCCUUUUAUGCCAUCUGUACUGGCUUUGGUGGAAGGAUGUGUCGGGUCCUCAGCGCCUAUAGAAUGCCAGUUGGCCAGGAAUGAAUUUUAAAUAGUGUCGCGUGUGUUGUGUGGAUACUAAUCCUUUUCUUUAUCUCUUCCCUACAGGGAGGCUUGUCGCCGAGUCGCUGCAACGAUAUACCAGCGAGCAGAUCUGCGCGCAGGCUUUGGCUGGAGAGUUGCUGUCAGUCGUCGGCGAUCGUUACCAGGACACAUCAGGUUAGCCAAUCUGCGCGCAGGCGUCAGUUGCAGCGGCUGCGGUUCUAGUUCCAGUGGACCUAAUAUUGCGCAAGGAUAAGGCGAUAUCCAGUGAGCCGCCUUUUGUCAAGUCAUCGAGUAGAUCUGCGCGUAGAAUAUACCAUAGUAUCUGCGCGCAGGCGUGAAUAAGGAGAUCAUCUGCUGCUUCUCGGACCUGUUGGCCCCCACAUGCCCAAGGAUGACACGAUUUCCAGCGGAGAGCUUUUUGACGUCUGGACUGGAUUUUGGUAGAAGGGGAGCCUUGUCGCCGAGUCGCUGCAAGGAUACACCAGCGAGCAGAUCU